rnacentral:rRNA from 1 species
UACGGGGGGGGCAAGCGUUGUUCGGAAUUACUGGGCGUAAAGGGCGCGUAGGCGGCCUGCUAAGUCGGAUGUGAAAUCCCUCGGCUCAACCGAGGAACUGCAUCCGAUACUGGCGGGCUUGAAUCCGGGAGAGGGAUGUGGAAUUCCAGGUGUAGCGGUGAAAUGCGUAGAUAUCUGGAAGAACACCCGUGGCGAAGGCGGUUCUCUGGGACGGUACUGACGCUGAGACGCGAAAAGCGUGGGGAGCGAACAGG